UACGGGGGGGGCAAGCGUUGUUCGGAAUUACUGGGCGUAAAGGGCUCGUAGGUGGCCAACUAAGUCAGACGUGAAAUCCCCAGGCUUAACCUGGGAACUGCGUCUGAUACUGGAUGGCUUGAAUUCGGGAGAGGGAUGCAGAAUUCCAGGUGUAGCGGUGAAAUGCGUAGAUAUCUGGAGGAAUACCGGUGGCGAAGGCGGCAUCCUGGACCGGCAUUGACGCUGAGGCGCGAAAGCCAGGGGAGCAAACGGG
rnacentral:rRNA from 1 species